rnacentral:tRNA from 1 species
GCAUUAGUGAUUCAGUGGUAAAAUUCUUACCUUCUAUGCAGGAGACCCAGGUUUGAUUCCUGGCCAACACA